rnacentral:rRNA from 1 species
UAGGGAAUCUUCGGCAAUGGACGAAAGUCUGACCGAGCAACGCUGCGUGAGUGAAGAAGGUUUUCGGAUCGUAAAACUCUGUUGUUAGAGAAGAACAAGGACGUGAGUAACUGAACGUACCCUGACGGUAACUAACCAGAAAGACACGGCUAACUACGUGCCAGCAGCCGCGGUAAUAAGUAGGUGGCAAGCGAUUUCCGGAUUUAUUGGGCGUAAAGCGAGCGCAGGCGGUUUCUUAAGUCUGAUGUGAAAGCCCCCGGCUCAACCGGGGAGGGUCAUUAGAAACUGUGUGACUUGAGUGCAGAAGAGGAGAGUAGAAUUCCGUGUGUAGCGGUAAAAUUCUUAGAUAUAUGGAGGAACACCAGUGGCGAAGGCGGCUCUCUGGUCUGUCACUGACGCUGAGGCUCGAAAGCGUGGGGAACAAACAGG